GUAGCUUAGUUGGUAGUGCGUCUGCCUUGUAAGCGCUAGGCCGCGGGUUCGAUUCCCGCC
rnacentral:tRNA from 1 species